rnacentral:rRNA from 1 species
UGGGGAAUAUUGCACAAUGGGCGCAAGCCUGAUGCAGCAACGCCGCGUGAGGGAUGACGGCCUUCGGGUUGUAAACCUCUUUUAGUAGGGAAGAAGCGAAAGUGACGGUACCUGCAGAAAAAGCACCGGCUAACUACGUGCCAGCAGCCGCGGUAAUACGUAGGGUGCGAGCGUUGUCCGGAAUUAUUGGGCGUAAAGAGCUCGUAGGCGGUCUGUCGCGUCUGCUGUGAAAACCCGAGGCUCAACCUCGGGCCUGCAGUGGGUACGGGCAGACUAGAGUGCGGUAGGGGAGAAUGGAAUUCCUGGUGUAGCGGUGGAAUGCGCAGAUAUCAGGAGGAACACCGAUGGCGAAGGCAGUUCUCUGGGCCGUAACUGACGCUGAGGAGCGAAAGCGUGGGGAGCGAACAGGAUUAGAUACCCUGGGUAGUCCACGCCGUAAACGUUGGGCGCUAGAUGUGGGGACCAUUCCAC